UAAGCAAGGGUCACGAUGCCGGUUCCUUGGACCCGUUUUCCUCUCUACAGCCGAACUCGAGCCACCAUCGCCAUUGCAGGGAGGACGACGCCAUGAGAGACCGAGCAUGUUGCACUCGAGUUCAUACCGUGGAGGAGGUUCGCAGGGGACCUCUGGAUCCGUCAGACUACGUCGCACGACGACGAGAAGUCUCUGCAUCUAUCGCUG
rnacentral:lncRNA from 7 species